rnacentral:rRNA from 1 species
AUGGAGGGGGAGCCGCCCGCGCAGGGCCCGCCCCCCAGCACCGCCGCUGCCUACGGCUCCGGCGGGGGCGGGGAGAAGGGUGCCCCGUGCCAGGAGUGCGGGGAGCAGCCGUGGAAGUACUGGUGCCCGGACUGCUCCCGCCUCACCUGCUGCCUCCCCUGCGUGCAGGCCCACAAGCGCUGCACCGCCUGCUUCGGCAAGCGCCCCUGCACCGUCCCCGUCCAGCUCGCCCAGUUCGACGGCAACCAGCUCCUCUCCGGUGAAAGAUUCAUGACGGAGCUGGAGAUCCUGGGCAUGAUCCUCUCGGCGCUGUCGGACGCCAAGAUACCGGAGAAAGAAUGCCUUCUCCCGCUCGUCUCCAAGCUCCUCGGCUACUGCAUCGUGGCCGCCUCCACCACCGUCAAGCUCCUGCAGGUUCGUUCCGUUCUUUGCCUUUUGUUGGUGAUUUCUCAAGAUUACAGCAUUGGGCACCCGUAG